GGAACUUGUUUUCCUGCUUUUCUAACUCGAGUAGCCUUUUGAAAUUACGAAUCCAUCGCUACCCUUUUAUCAUGUUUGCCUUAACAAAACCUGCACAUCUCCAAAAAGGUUUAGAAAACCUAUCACCGUCUUACAAUAACCACUUCCAACUAGGGGCAGUAACUAUGUCCCACAUCGGAACUUUAUUCCCAGUUACUGCCUUGAGAAAGCUAUAUAAGAACGCGUCAUCUCCAACUUGUGAGCAUCAAUUCGCUGUGCAGACGAGCCAUUUUAAGUUUGCCUUCGACAAUUAGAAAAUAUCAGAUGGCUGAGCAUCUAUUUCUCGUGUAUCGUUCCACACCGAGAAGAGGGAUGUGUACCUCCAGCAACAACAAGAAUGGAACCAUAGGCUCCUAUGCUGGGAGCAUUUCGGGGUAUAGGUCUAACCACCUCAACUCCCCGUUUCUGGCAUGCUAUAGUUAUUAAAGUCUCUCGACGGCGGGACUCUUUUUAGUUUUAGAAGGUUUCAAUAAGUGUCUUGAGACAUUUGUUUUCAUGUCUGGUGUUCUUUUUUUUUUUAGUGUAGAUCUACUCCGGUGCCUACUGGAGAUAGACUCCUAUCUAUGCUAACUAUCUUUGUUUGGUUUUAUUUGUUAUGAACCUGCAA